UUAACGCAAAUUUGUAUGGAAUGGGAUCGUUUGCCUACGUUUGCCGCUAGGGGCGCUGUUCCAACUGCAUACAAAAUUAGGUUA
rnacentral:pre_miRNA from 1 species